rnacentral:lncRNA from 1 species
UUGAAAUUAUGAAUAUAAACAUGUUUCAAGCAUCUUUAUGGUAUUGAUUUGGUCUUUACGCCUAUUUCCGAAGUGAUUUGAUAUAUUAUAUAUGCAUAUUCUUGUGAUUCAAAAGAUGUUAACUUGAGAGCAUGCAUUAUAUGAAACCCCUCUCUUGAUAUGAAAUUGUUUGAAAUUUUCAUAUGAUGUGAAUUGUUUGAAAUCAUCUUGACAAGCAUGACAUGAACUAUUUUGAAAGUGGAUAUGAUUUUUGACUUGCAAGGAGAGGGUUAUUAUGUUGAAAUAUGAUGAAUAUAAUAGUUGCAUGAAAGAAUAAUGUGAUAUUGAUGACUUGCAAGUCGGGUAUGAUGAUACCCUACAGAAUAUGAUAUGUGAUUGAAUUAGAUGAAAUUUGAAUGCAUUGAUUUUACAUGAGAUAGGUGGAUGCCCGAAGAAGGCGUUUGAGUGUAAGGGCUCAUCGUUGGAAACCGUGUUUGCCGACAUGGAAACUUGGUACCAUGCUUUGUGAUCUUGCGUACCUAACUUUAUGUCAUUACCAAAAUGAGACUAUGGUUAGGAGCCCUGGUUUGUGAUCUUGUGCACUACCAUUGGGUCGUGUGAUCUUGUGUGUCUUCCCCUCACUUAUACUCUAAUCUCGGCAGUAACCGAUAUUUGACAGUUGGUGUAAAUGUGAUAUGUAGGGUAUUCCACCUAGCUCUGCUGCAUUGCGUUGUUGUUGUAAACAAUUACAUUACGCCCAUGUGUUUUCAAAUGAUUUUAUAUGAAACUACUUUAUAAUGACUUUCAACAAUAUUUUGUAAAAAUAUUAUGUUUUGUUUUGAUAUCUCUAUGUACCAGUACUUUUGUAUUGACCCCCUUCCCUCCCAGGUUUUAGAGGCACAGUCUAGGGGUCUAGAAAAUCAGUAGAUUUCCUCAGAUAGAUUCGCAGAGUCACUUGGUGAACCUUCUAUAUUUUUGAAGGCCUGAUAUCUGGCAGUUUCAUUUAUCAUUUAUUAGUUUUGGGUCUACUGUGGGCCUUGUCCCAGUUUUCAGAUAGAUAUUUAUUUUAGUCAUGUAGUAGAGAUUUCGCAGACGUAAUAGAGAUGUUGAUUGAGAUUGUGGGACAUUAUUCCCCAUUAUUGUUUUCAUAUAAUUCUUGACCAUGUUUCCGUUAUAUAGUGUAUCUUCCGCAUUUUUUUUCAUAUAAGUCAUGUGCAUGAUUACCAGAUAGAUAAGGGGUGUUUCGACCUUGAUGGUUCGGAAUACUCGUCACGGCCAGGUCCUCGAUUCGGGUCGUGACACCACUAAACCUAUUAAACUCAAGAGCAAGUACCUCGAACUCAAUGAGGUUGCUUAUCUCUUUGGGUAUUUCACCUGGAAACACAUAUAGUGGAUUACUGGUGAGUUUAAAUAGUUGGUUCCAUCUAUUUUUUGCUAAGAUAUAAGAAUUGCUUCUUGUUUAUGUUGUCAAUCUCCCAUGAUAUAAUCCACUAAGAUAUUAACUUUUAUAUUGUUGGUCAUACGAAAGUAUUAAAAGAAAAAAGAAAAAAAAAAUAUGUAUAGAAGAUAAAUAUAUCUGAACAGAGCCAUUAAUCUGGCUUCGCUCUCCAUGCCUAAUACCCCCAAACUUAGAUACCUCAAUUAAUUCAAUAACUGAAAUUACCCCUGCAGUUACUGUGUAGUCAAAUAAAAUACCGAAGCAAUUAGAUACAAGCAUUCAUAAGAUAAAACAUACCUGUGAAAUGGUCAGUUCCGAGAAACAAUUGCUGCAAGUUACUAAAUCUUCCAAUUUCACUAUGUAUUGGUCCAUCAAACUCAUUUUCCGAUAAACCUAGUAGUUGAAGUUGUGAGCAAUUUGACAAGCUCGUCGGCAUAUGACCAUGACGCUUGUUAUCGGAUAGAUAAAGCCCUUUGAGUAUUGGGAGACCAUUGCAUAAACCAUUGGGCAGAUAUCCGAUAAGCUAUUGCCUGUAAAUGCAAUGACUUCGAUUCUUGAGAUAUUGAAAAUUGUGAAUGGUAUAGACCCCGUAAGUUGAUUAGCUUGUAUGCCCAACAACUUCAUGUUGUGAAGAUUGCCGAUCCCUUCUGGAAUAUUCCCUUGAAGUGAAUUAAAAGAUAUAUCUAAAGUCUCCAACCUCGAGACAUUUGAGAGUGAUAGAGGAAUAGAAGCUAUGAGCUUGUUACCUCGCAACCUUAAUUCUCCAAGGUUUAUAAGACUUCCAAUCACUUUUUGUAUUUGUCCCUCAAUUGAAUUUAAAUUCAGAUUCAAAAUCUCAAGUGUGGACACAUUAGAAAAUGUAGAAGGGAUGGAACCAGUGAAACUAUUAUUUCUAAUAUUAAUAACUUGAAGUUGGUGUAAAAACCCAAAACAACAAGGAAUCGCCCCUCUGAAGUUGUUGAAACUUAAAUCAAGAAACUUAAGCCGACGUAAGCGUGCCAUUUCAUGAGGCAAAUUUCCAUGGAAAUUGUUGCUUCCCAAGUCAAGAGAAACAAGAAAUGAGAGGUUUCCAAAUUCACAAGGAAUCUUGCCAGUAAGAGCCAUGUUAGAAAGAUUCAAGGAUUUCACUCAUUGGUGACGAGAACAACAAGUGACUCCAACCCAAUGACAAACAAAAACAGCGGGAGACCAGUUUUCAUCCAAGAAGUUGGAGGGGUUGGAAAUGAUUUGAGAUUUUAAGGACAAAAGAGCUAAUUGAUCAGUGGUAAUGUUGGUUUGAGUCAUGGCUGAACUAGCCAUAAGCAACAAGAGUGUUGAAGAGAAAAAAUGUGAAGAUUUUCUCCAUUAUUGCAUAAAUUUGUAGGUAGGCUCCAUAACAUGUGAUUUUGAGACUUUAAAUAGCAAUGAGGUCUCCCUUUUGGUCUUCAUGAUUUUAAAAAAAAUACUUUUCCUCAUUCAUUCUCUUAUAUUUAGUGGCUGAAUCAAAAUUUUCAACAAAAAAAUUCAAAAUAUAAAGAAGUAAAUUCAUCAAAAAAUCAAAGAGUAUCAUUAUGUAAUAUAUACAUAAAAAAUAUUUUUACAUACCUACACAAUGUAUUUUUUAGACUAACAUGUGGCUCCGCCAUUGGUCAUAUCAAUUUUAAUUUCACCAAGUUUUGCACGUUUCAAUCAGCCCAAGACUUGUGCAAGUCAUCAACCAAGUCUUGCUUUAUCUUUUCUGGACUAGACUUUAUGUUCCUCUAAUAGAUUAGUAAAAUUAACUUAUACUAUACGCUCGAGAAAUAUUUUUACAAGAUUUGCAUAGUUUACAUCUUUAUAAUCCUUUUAUCUCUAGCUAAGAAAGAAUAUGUUGUUAAUUUAGAUCAUUUUUGUAUACAAUGGUAAUAAAAGGAGCUUUUAAUUAUAGUUUAUAAUGUUAGAAUUUUUUUCCUGAUUUUCUUACCAAGUUUAAGUUUUUCUUUUCUUGAAAAAAAAAAAUAAUACCAUAAUUACUUUUACUUUUCCUAAAAAGAAAAUAUAAAUCUUUUUCAUAUUUGGCAAACGUCUUUCUUGGAGGAAAGGUUUUGAAUUUGAACAUGUGGUAGUUCAUUACUAUAACACAAUAACCUCCACAAGGUAGUUCAUUAAAUAAUUUUGUUUAGAGGGAUAUUUUCUCCUAAUAGGUUUUAAAUUUUUCAUUAUUAUUUUAAUAUGUAGGUCAUUUGACCAAAUCAUAUUAAUAAUAUAUUUUUAGUAUUUGUUUUUAAUUUAGUAUCAUCUUAUUUAUCAUUUCUAUAGUUUGCAACUAUUAGCUUCCGCAUGAUUCCCUCUCGAUUUCGAACCCAACAUAUAAUUUGUUUGAAAUUUUGAUUUGUUUUAUAAUAAAUUUGUAUGAACUUUUUUUUUAUAAAAGAAUUCACAACAUUAAGAGCCCAUUUGAAUAGGAUUAAAAUCAGGUCAAAUUAAUUUUUAAACUUUUAUUUUUAGUUUUUUUUUAAAAAAUAUUUGAUAAAAUUAAAAAGUGCUAAAAAAAUGAAAAAACUAUUUUUUUUUUAAAUAAAAAUAAAAAAGUGGGAAGCUGUGUACCCUCACCUUUUUAUUUUUUGGAUUAAAAUUCUUGGAGGUUUUGAUAAAAAUAUUUAUCUUUUUAUCCCUUAUAUUUUCCUUUAAUUCCAAUGAUACCAUGAACUUGUAGCCCAUGAAUAUGUGAUUUUUCUUUCUUUUUUUCCCUGGUUCUUUUUGUCUCUUUCCUUCAAUUUUCUCUUCAUCUUUCUCCUUUGUUUUGAGAAAAUUCAUCAUUACAUCGGAGGUUUGUUCAUGAACUUUUCUUAAGUGUCGUAUUUUCUAGACAUGUUCUAUCUCUUUUAUUUUAAAUAUUUUUUAGUUAGUUUAAAAUGAAGGAUUCUCUUGUUAUCUCGACAUUGUAUUUUUCUCCACAAAUUUUUCAAAUGGAAUAAGUCAAAAGAAACAAGAAAUGUGAGGCUUCCAAAUUCACUGGAAAUCUUGCAAGAGUUAUGUUGGAAAGAUUUAAGGAUCUCACUCUCUGGUGAUGAGAAUCACAAGUAACUCCUACCCAAUGGUAAACAAAAGUACCAGAAGACCAACUCUUUUUUUAUAAAUAUAAAUAUACAUGUCAAGCAAGUCUAGAAGAUAUAUAUAUAUAUAUAUAUAAAGACUUGUACAAAUCAACCAAGUCAUGUUUUAUUUCACAUUGGGCUUAAAUUCUUUGUAAAUAGUCUCGCUUUCGCAUUCUCUAGAAUACUUACUACUCUCUUAGUCCUAUAAUAAGUUUGACCUUAAUAAACAAAAACUAUUAUUACCUAAGGAAUUCUAGAAAAAAAAUCUUAUGUUUUUCCAAUUAUACUCUUGUACUCCAUCUUCUUGACAGUGUCCAAUUUUCAAGAGAAAUUUAUUAAAUUGGGGUAAUUUAGUAAAUUAAAUAUCUUUUUUGUCUUGAUUUCUUGAAGGGAGUGAUUUUUGCUAUGAUAACAUUUUUUCUUUUUGGGGCGGCUGUUACCACUAUUAAACAAUAAAUCAAUAAUUAUUGUUUAGUUGGCUUGGAAAAAAAAACAGUUAGACGGUUUCCUAUUGGAUGGUUUUAAAAAUAUUUCUCCAUAUUACCAACUUUCAGCAAGCAAAGAAGAAAAUUUGCUUUCACGUUCUACAAUUGGUGUUGAAUUUGGUACAAGAACUAUUCAUGUUGAUGACAAAAUUGUCAAAGUUCAAAUUUGGGAUACUGCUGGUCAAGAAAUGUGCCAUUUCCUUUUCCUUUAUUCUAUUAUUAAAUCGUGAUGGAUCUAGAAUUUUAAGUUGAUAUGUAAUUGUGAUUAAUGCGCGCACACACAUAUAUAAUGUUUGACCAUAUUUUGGUGUUCGCAGGUAGGUAUUUAAACUUGUAUACAAUUGAACAAGUAGAAAUACACAUCAUAUGUGACAACUACGUCGCAUCUACAUGGCAAUCUCAUACGAAUUACCACAUAGAUGACACAUAGGGCGUGUGUGUUUACUUGUUCAAUCUAACACAAAUUUAAGUGUCUAUUUGUGCACAUCCAAAGUUGGAGGACAUAGAUGCGAGCUGAAGUCAAGUUAAAGGGCAUACUUACGUAUGAUGCCAAAUUUGUAUGUUGAAAGAAUUCGAUGGUGAAAUAUAUGCUACGAAAGAAGUGGUUAUGUUGACCUUAUGCUACGAUUCUUCGUUCUCUUAAUAAAUUUCUAGUUAGAUGAUCACUGUGUCCACUAAUUUUACAAUAUCCGCGCCUCUCCCUGAAUUAUAUCUGAUCGUUUUUCAUGUCUCAUAAAAAGGUAUCGAUCCAUCACUAGUGGAAAUUAUCGCGGAACAGUGGGUGCCUUACUGGUUUACGACAUAACACGCCAUGUUACAUUUGAGAAUGUAGCAAGAUGGCUCAAAGAAUUGAGAGACCACACAGACCAAAACAUCGUUUUAAUGCUCGUGGGGAAUAAGGCGGAUCUUCGCCACCUCAGAGCUUUCCCCACGGGCGAAUCAAGUGGUUUUGCAGAAAGAGAGAACACUUUCUUCAUGGAAACAUCUGCACUUGAGGCACUCAAUGUAGAAAACUCCUUCACAGAAGUACUCACUCAGAUUUAUCAAGUGGUUAGUCGUAAAGCUCUUGAUAUAGGAGAUGAUCCUGCAUCUAUACCAAGAGGACAGACAAUUAACAUCGGAAAAGAUGAUGUAUCUGCUGAUAAGAAAGGUGGAUGUUGUUCAGAAUGAGUAUGAUCCCUUUUUCCGUAUACACAAAGGUGGACUCUCCCUAGAUCUGCCUCUGGAUGAAAGCAUAUAAUACUCAAAACUAAUCUCAUUUUCAACAAAUGUAAGUUGGACAAAAGAACUAAUAGCACAGUAUAUUGUUGAGGAAACUAAAGGGGGAUGGAAUUUGUAAAAGGGGAAUUUCAGCUAAGCAAAACUUCUUGUUUCCAUAAGAUACUUGCAAUAGACUGAAUGUCUAUGUUGCUCGGACUCUUCAAAAAUGUAGAUGUGUGCGUGUUUGAAUCUUCUAAAGUAGUGUAUUUUUUAAGUAUUCUGUCAUAAGGCUGCAACAGUCAGAUUUAUUGCAACCAGCUAGAACUGUUGAAAACAGAAUCAUGCCCAAAUCAAGUGCUAAAAGAUAAAAGCGAACCACUAUAAAAAUUUGCAACAUUGUUCAACAUGCAAGAAGUUGAACAUUGAUCUUCUGUAGCAUUCCUAUAACAUCGCUCAUGUUAGUCCUUCUUGCCGGAUUUUCAGCACAACAAUCCAAUGCUACAAUCAUGAUUGAUGCCACAACAUCUAGUUUCAUUUGUAAGCGACUACCCAUUUGGGUUACCAAGUUGGCAUCUACGACGUCCAUUACAGCAUCUGGAAGUGAAAAACUCACCCAUUGCUUCAAGCUAAGAUCUCCCUCAAACUCAUUGGGCUUUCUCCUAGUAAACGUUUCCAGCAACAUGACCCCAUAACUAUAGACGUCGCACUUUGCUGACACUAGUCCAUUCAGUCCAUACUCUACAGUCAAACAAUUCAUUUAAAGAUACAAUAAACUUUCUUGGUAGGAAAAAAGGAAAGGAGUAAUCAGCAAAACUAAGAGAUGUACCUGGAGCAAUAUAACCUAAUGUUGCUAAGGUUUUAGUGUAUAAAUCACCCUGAUCUUCACCAAGCAGUUUUGAAAUGCCAAAGUUGCUUAGGUGGGCAACCAUAUCUUCAUCCAGCAAGACGUUACUAGGCUUCACGUCACAGUGAAUCACAGGCAACGAGCACCCAUGGUGAAGAUAUUCCAAAGCACAUGCCACAUCUAUCAUUAUGCUUAGUCUCUGCUUGAUGUCGAGGAAGUAGUUGUGUGAAUACAAAUACUUCUCAAGAUUCCCAUUAGGCAUAUAAUCAAGAACUAAAGCCUUGAAAUCAUGAUUGGAACAACUAGUAAUGACUUUUACGAUAUUCCUAUGGCCAAGGCUACGCAAAAUUUCACGUUCCGUAUCAAAACUCUUGAAUGCCGCAUCCAGUUUCAGGUUGAACACUUUAACUGCAAUGACAGUUCCACUUCUGAGAACGCCUUUGUAAACAGAGCUAAAACCUCCAGAACCAAUCAGAUUACUCUCACUAAGCGCAUUAGUUGCUCGGAGAAGUUCAUAGUAUGAAAUCCUUUCACUUGCUUCGGUAGACAAUGAAUUAGCUUGUUGAGGAGCACUUUUACCUCUUCUAUACCUUAUCCAUAGGAAAACAAAGGUCAUAGGAACAAAUACAACUGCAGUUGCGAGCAAAAGAAUAAGUACUAGCAAUUUUUUUCUAUUUGAUCUGAGCUUUGAUGAAGUGGGGCAUGGUGGGACACUAAAUCUUGAAGAACCACACAAUGCUUCAUUAUAGAUGAAAAACUGACUCGAGAGGUUCUUGAAAGGACCCCUCGAGGGUAUUUCACCGUACAAUUGGUUGUGUGAAACAUUGAAAUACUUGAGGUAUUGAGGUUUCUCCAAAGACAUGGGAAUGAUUCCCGAUAAAUUAUUGUGAGAAAGGUCUAGGAAUUCCAAACCUACCAUGUUGAUCAUUGAGUCAGGUAUAGCUCCUUGCAACUUGUUGUGUCUCAAAGAAAGGUACGCUAAAUUUUGCAAGCCUCCAAUUUCUCUAGGAAUUUCAUUUGAGAAAUGAUUUAUCGACAGAUCCAUCUUUGUUAUGGCCUUUAGAUUUCCAAUUUCUGGAGGUAAUGAGCCUACCAUGUUGUUUGACGAUAAGUCAAGAACCACUAGGUCAUGAAGGUUCCCUAAGCUUGGUGGUAUAUUAGAACUCAAUUUGUUGGAACCGAGAUGCAUCUCCCUAAGGGAAGUAAUAUUCCCUAAACAAUAAGGAAGAGAUCCUGAUAAUUGAUUUCGACCCGAGUAAAUAUCACCCAAAUGCUGCAAUUUACAUAUAUGAUCUCCAAUAAAUCCUGUCAAUUUGUUGCUAUUCAAGUUGAACCGCUGAAGGUCUCUCAAGUUUCCAAUUGAUGUUGGAAUCGAUCCGACCAAGUUAUUCCCAGAAAGAUCAAGGUCUAAUAAGAUGCUUAAGUUCCCAACUUCAUUUGGAAUUCGCCCUUUGAUUUUGCCAUUGUUGGCAUAAAAAUUUCUAAGGGAUGUGGAAAGGUUCCCUGUGGAGGCCGGAAGCAUAUCAUUUAGAGGGUUGGAAGAUAUAUCAAGAAAUGUUAAAUUUUUACAAUUGGUUAAGGAAGUCAGGAAGCUUAAUGAUGAGUCGCUAGUCAAAUUGUUUCCCCCUAAAUUUAGUAACUGUAGAUGAGUCAAAUAUCCAAGAGAAUUGGGAAUCAAGCCAGUGAGUUGGUUGAUAGAAAGCUCUAGAUGAGUAAGUUUUGAACAAUUGGAAAUGGAAUAAGGAAUAGUCCCAACAAGAUUGGUUAAGUUGUUCAUAUAAAGCUCUUCAAUGUUGGGUAAGAUAGAACACAUGUUUGGGGGGAGGUUUCCUGAUAGAUUGUUGUCUGAAAGAGAAAUCAGUUUCAGCCCUGAUAUGUUGAAGAUCUCCAUUGGGAUUGAACCACUAAAUCUAUUAUUGCUAAGACUAAGUAGCUCCAACUCAAUGAGAUUGCUUAUCUCUUUGGGUAUUUCACCUGGAAACAUAUAUAGUGGAUUACUAGUGAGUUCAAAAAGUUGGUUCAAUCUAUUUUUGCUAAGAUAUAAGAAUUGCAUCUUGUUUAAGUUGUCAAUCUCCCGUGGUGAGAAUCCACUAAGAUAAAAACAUACCUGUGAAAUGGUUAUAUCCGAGAUACAAUCGUUGCAAGCUACUCAAUCUUCCAAUUUCACCAUGUAUUGGUCCAUCAAACUCAUUUUUUGAUAAAGACAAUACUUGAAGUUGUGAACAAUUUGACAAGCUUGUAGGCAUACGACCGUGAAGCUUGUUAUAAGACAGAUAAAGCCCUUUGAGUAUUGGGAGACCAUAGCAUAAACCAUUGGGAAGACUUCCUGAUAAGCUAUUGCCAGUAAAUGAAACGAUUUCGAUCCUAGAAAAAUUGAAAAUUGUGAAUGGUAUAGAACCCGUAAGUUGAUUAUAUUGUAUGGACAACCAGUUCAUGUUGUGAAGAUUGCCAAUUCCUUCUGGGAUGUUUCCUUGAAGUGAAUUAAAAGAUAAAUCUAAAGUCUCCAACCAUGAGGCAUUCGAGAGUGACAGAGGAAUAAAGCCUAAGAGAUUAUUACCCCUCAAGUUUAAUUCUCUAAGGUUUCCAAUCAUUUUUGGUAUCUGACCCUCUAUGGAAUUGAAAUUCAGAUUCAAAGUACCUAGUGUGGAUAUAUUAGAAAAUGAAGAAGGGAUGGACCCAGUGAAACUAUUAUUCCUAAGAUUUAGAACUUGAAGUUGGUGUAAAAAUCCAAACCAUGAAGGAACCUCCCCGCCAAAGUUGUAGACACUUAGAUCAAGAAACUUAAGCCGGCGCAACUGUGCCAUUUCUUGAGGCAAAUUUCCAUGGAAAUUGUUGCUUCCCAAGUCAAGAGAAACAAGAAAUGUAAGGUUCCCUAUUUCACGGGGUAUUACACCCAUAAGAUUCAUGUUGGAAAGAUUCAAGAAUCUCACUCUUUGGUGACGAGAGCCACAAGUGACUCCAUCCCAAUGGCAAACCGACGUAGCUGGAGACCAACUUUCAUCAAAGAGGUGAAGGGGUCUGACAGGAUUUGAGAUUUCAGGGAAAGAAGAGCUAAUUGAUCAGUGGAGAUAUUAAAUUGGGUCAUGGCUGAGCUACUUAUAACAAAGUACUGAAGCAACAAGAGAAAACAGGUGAAAGGAACAAGUUUCUCCAUAAUUGCAUAUAUUGGUAAGAAUGUGGAUAUGGAUUGUAAUGAUGUGGUUUUGAGACUUUAAAUAGGAAAGAGGCCUCUUUCUCUUUCUGAUUUUAAAAUCUACAAAAAUCUCUUUUAUGAGAAUUUUCCAUACAUACAUAUUUUAAGGAAAGAAGGAACAGCUUUCCUUUAUUCAUUAUUUUAGUCAUUUGAAGACUAAUAAUACAACUAAAGAAACAAAAAAAAAAGUAACUUUAAUUUGUUUAAGUAGCAGAUCAAGAAAGAAGACUCAAAAAGGAGUCUUCCACGAAGUUUGUCACCUCUACUGCAAAAGCAAUAUAAUAUCAAAAGUUUAUUUAACUAACUGCCCAUUGUCAGAUAAUAUCAAAAGCUUAUUUAACUAACUGCCCAUUGUCAGAUGAUAAGCAUACUGUUUCUUAUCAAAAUUAAGUUUACUUUUCUUAUAAGAAAAAUAAAAGUAAUACCAUAAUAACUUUUAAUUUUCCUGAAAGGAAAAGAUAAAACUUUUUCAUAUUUGGUAAACCUCUUUGUAAUAUGAAAGGUUUUGGACCUCUAUAAAUAGAAACCCUUCUUAUACCUUAACAACACAGUAACAUCCAUAAUGUAGUCUUUAAAGAAUUCAGUUUAUUGGGAGAUUUCUCCCAAUAAAUUGAAUAUUUUUUUAUAUUAGAUUUUUAAUAUGUAGGUCUCUUGACCAAAACAUAUCAAUAAUAUUAUGUUUUUAAUUUAGUUUUCUUUUGCGUUGAUUUAUCAUCUCAUGGAUUGCAAACUUUAAGCUUACGCAUGACGCCUUCUUGAUUUCGAUCCCAACAAGUGCUAUCAAAGUUUAUGGUUCAAUGAUCCGGUGGUUCAGAUUGAGGACAUAUUAAGAUCAAAGUUGCAAUCAGUUUGAUGAUGAUGAAGAUCUUUGUCUAGCUACAUGUGGAGAAGUAGUUUAAAACAUAUUUUCAACAUUUCUGCUGCUGCAUCUUUAAAAAUAAAAAUAAGAUAUUUUUUAAAUAAUUUUUAAACUUUAUUUUUAACUAUGGCAAGCAACAAUUAUGAAGAUUAUAUCAAGAACGAAGUUUAUGCCUGUGAUGUGAAGAAGACAGAUCAAGUGAAGAAAAUAAUGUCAAAAAGAGGAAAUUUGUUAGGGGUUUUUGCUCUGAUUUUCUUACCAAAAUUAUGUUUUAAGAAAAAUAAAAGUAAUACCAUAAUUAAUUUUAUUUUUCCUAAAAGGAAAAUAUAAAAAUUUUCCUUCGCAAACCUCUUUCUAUGAGGAAAGGUUUUGGAACUCUAUAAAUAGAAGGACCCCCUUCUUAUACCAUAAUAUAGAAGCAUCCACAAUGUAGUCUUUAAAGAACCUUUGUUUAGGGGGAGAUUUCUCCCAAUAAAUUUAAUGUUUUUCGAUAUUAGAUUUUCAAUAUGUAGGUUUCUUGACCAAAACAUAUUAAUAAUAUUAUGUUUUUAGUUUAGUUUUCUUUGUUGUCUGAUUUAUCAUCUCAUGGUUUGCAAACUUUAAGUUUUCGCAUGACGCCGUCUCAAUUUUGAGUCCAACACAUAGUGAGUCAACAUAAUGGGCAAUGAAGAAUGUCUGCAAUCUCAAAAACACACACAUGAACACUGUUAAAGAACAUAAAAUAAUAAACCAUUAAAUCCAUAUUAAAAAUAGCAUUUCCCAUUUAUUAACCUUUUCUUUUUUUCUUUUGGUGAAAUAUGCACGUGGCAAUAGGAAAUGAAAAAUUGACAAAUAUUUAUGCAGACACUCAAAAUAAAAUAUAAUAAUAAUGUCACAUUAUAUGUGGCCCCCCCAAUUACAUCAGUCAAGUCAAACUCUCCCUCACUUGACAGUGGUUUUGUUUGCCUCCCCUCUCACUGCUCUUCCCCUAUGCUUUCUCUCAUCCUUAUUACUUCUGAAAGCAGCACCAAAGAGGCAAAAAAGUAGGAAGGGGGCGACAAGGGUACAGAAUGUGAAUGGAGGAGUUGCAAAGGCGGCAGCAAGGGUGAUGAAAGGGAGUGUAGGAGUUGUGAAAGCGGAGGAGAAAGUGAAGGGGGUUGCGGAGGAGAUGCAAUACCGGGGAGAUGCAAUACUGGGGAUUACGGAAGAGGCCGUCGGGGAAAUACACUGCAACCACUAGAGAUCCGAGGAAAAUAUGCAACUAUUUUUAUAGAUUCGUUAAAACAAUUAAAUUUCUAUUAAAAUAGGUGUGUAAUGAAUAAUAAAAGGCAACAAUUACAAAUAAAUCUAUAUAAGUAUGACAAGAAGCAAUAAUUCAGGGUGUAUUUUAAUAUGACAAGAAGAAAUAAUUCGGGGUAUAUUUUAUGUUUAAAAUUAAUUUUUAAUUUUAAGCAAUGAACUGUAAAUUGUGAACUUUAAUUAGUAGUUGGCAAAUUUUAAAUAAAGUCACAAAUAACUAUUUUGAGCCCAAAUAAAAAUAGAGACUUUCUAUAGAAAUUCAAAGAAAAUUAAAUUUAAGAAGCGUAAUAGACAGAAAAAAUAAAACAGAGAAGGAAAAAUACAAUAUUCACAUCCUUCUUAAGACUUUAUUCAUAACAAUAUAAAUGGAAAAAGAAAUAUAGAAUCGGUACAUGGUUGAUUGAGCUCUUGUCGGCACUAUCUCACAUAAUCAAUCAAAUUUCAAGAGUCUUCUUCAACGAGUCAAACUAAAACAAGAAUCAAGUAGUACAAUAAAAAAAAUGUCUUUCGCUACUAUAACUAUUGAAUGAAAAAGUUAAUUUUGUGGGGAAGGAGUCUCAUGAAAUAAAAAAGAUGAAUUUAUAUAGAUAAAGUUUUGAAUUAAAUAUUUAUAUCAAUACUAAUACCACCAAAUCAACCAAGUCUUUUACAUCCCAAUCAGAAUUAUAAAUAUGGUGGCAAAAUUCCUCUAAUUAGCCAAAGACUUGGCAAGUCAACCAAGUCUUUCUUUAUUUUUUGUGUGCUUAAUUCUUUGUAAAUAGUCUUGCUUUCAUAUUCUCUAGAGUUGUGCGGUGAAAAGUAAUGUCAGUUUACUAACUUAUACUAUAAUGUCUUCUUAAUAUUAAUCAAGUUUAAUCCAUUUGGCACUACUGGAUUUAUCCCAGGCAAUGAGAGCCUUUCAAGAUAGUCAAGUUUUGUCUAGUGAAUUACCUUAUAUAAUGAUGAAUAAUUCCAUUCACUAUCAUCACUCACUUAAUUAUACUAUUAUUUUUCUAGGUAAAGGCAACUCUCUAGAUCUUAUGCUAUGAACACAUCUCUGGCCAAAUAGUGAACAUGAACAAAACUUGCUAUAUGGUGGCUCCAAACAUGUCACGGUCCGAACAGGGGCCCUCACCGUGACAAGCAUUCCGAAUCAUGAAGGCCCAAAACACCCCUAUCUAUCUGGUAAUCAUGCACAUAAUUCAUGCGAUAAAAUGAAAUGCGGAAGAUACACAAUAUCACAGAAACAUGGUCAUGAAAUCUAAUGAAAUCAAUAAGGGGAAAUAACGUCCCACAACAUCUAUCGACAUCCGAAAACCGUUUGCGAAAUCUCUACUAAUGACUAAAACAAACAACUAUCUGAAAACAGGGACAAGGUCCCCAGUAGACCCAAAACUAUUAAAUGAUAAAUAAACUGCCAGACAUCAGGCCUUCAAGAAUAUAGAAGGCUCACCACUCGACUCUGCAAAUCUGUCUGAAGAAUCUACUAAUUAUCUGAACUGCAAGACUGUGCCUCCGAACCUGGGAGGGAAGGUGUAAUGCCCUGCAAUUCGGACUACAAUAUAGACCAUGAUUUCGAUGCGUUGUUAAUUCUGAAGCCAUAAAAUUCUAUGCCAAUACGGCAUGUUAAUUAUCGUGUAGCAUAUGAAAUCCACUCAAGCUUCAAUUUAGAUCAUAGAGGUCCUACAAUUCAAGGACGAGUCAAAACUAUUUUGAUCGACUAAGUUUUAGUGGACGUUGUAAAGUGUGUCAUCUUCCUUCAACCAUAACUCUCUGUAUAUGUCGAAUUAGGAAACCUACUAUGUGUCAAAUGAUAGGUAUUCGAGUUAGCUUUCCAACGACACCUAUUUGGCUAAAAUCCGACACCUGAGCAAGAAGUUAUAACCUUUUAAAGUGAUAAGCGAUGCCUAACCAAUCGCCCAUGGCCACUGGAAAGCAUAGACGAUAGCCUAGGCGGCACCUAUGUGAUAUCAGGCGAUAGCCUAGGCGGCACCUAUGUGAACAUAGGCGAUAGCCUAGGCGACGCCUAUGUGAAAAUAGGCAAUGAGAUGGGCGGCGCCUAUGUAAGGAAUUCUAAUGAUUUAAACACUCCGUGUUGAGGAUAAAGUGGUCCUUUUCCACCCUUACUUAGCCCUAAAACACGAGAUUUAGUUCCAAGGAUCCCAAAAUACAUAUUCUUUCAUCAAAAGUGCUUAAGAUUCUCCUUAGGGUUUUAAAAAUAAAAACCCAAAUAGUUCAAGAUUUGACCUUAGGUUUUCAAAGAUAACUACAUAUUCGGAAUCACCAAUCUGCAAUCUUCACGAAGCAUUUAUUAUCCUUGGAAAUAGAGGUACAUGGGGUUAUCCAAAAAUAUCAUGGGUGUAGUUUUAUGAACAUGCAUGCUUUUAAAUGGGGUUUUCAAUCAAAUGCUAAUAUCUUGCUUUCAAUAUGAUUUCUAAGUCAUUUUCUUUAUGUUAUGGGAAUUGUUUGCCUAUAUACUUCAAUGGUUGAAAUCAUGCACAUGUGAUUUGAGAUUUUCCAUGGAAGUUGAUAAAUAUGAAUGAUAAAUUAUUUUAAAAUUCCCAUGAUAAUGUUUCGAUACUCCAUAUUAUAUUGUGAUCAACAAAAGAGAGCAUGAAUUUGAAAUAAAUAUUGUUCACCACUCGUAAAUGAUGAAGCACCUUGGUUUUUACAUGGUUAUGCAUAUGUGGAUGUGACAUUGGUGACUUGCAAAUAGGGUAUGAUGAUACCCUUCAAAAUACAAUAUGUGAUUGAAAAAAAAUUUAAAUUUGAAUGCAUUGAUUUUACAUGAGAAAAGUGGAUGCCCGAAGAAGGUGAUUGAGACACAAGGGCUCAUCGCUAGAAUAACGUGUUUGCCGACACGAAAUAUUGGUACCAGGCUAAGCGAUCUAUGUACUUGACUUCAUGUUGGGACUAUAGGUAGGAGCCUGAGCCAAGUGAUCUUGGGCACUAUCAUAGGGUUGAGACACCAUGCUGUGUCGUCUUGAGUGUCUCUCCCUAACUUAUACUCUAAUCUCGGCGGCAAUCGAGGUUUGACAGUUGGUGUAAAUUAUGUAGGGUAUUCCACCUAGCUCAGUUGCAUUUCAUUACUGUUGAGAAAAAUUAUUGUAUUACACCCAUGUAUUUUCAAAUUAUACGAAAUUGCUUUAUAAUGGCUCUCAUCUAUGUUUUGUAAAAAUAUUAUGUUUUGCUUUGAUAUCUCUGCGUGCCAGGACUUUUAUGCUGACCCCCUCCCCUCUCCAACCUCUUAGGUUCAUAGGCCCAGUCUAGGGGUCAAGAGAACCAGUAGAUCUUUCAGACAGAGUUGCAGAGACAAGUGGUGAGCCUUCUAUGUUUUUGAAGGUCUUAUGUCCUGUAGUCCUUUUAUCUUAUAUUAGUUUUGGGUCUGCUGGGGGCCUUAUCCCAGUUUUUAGAUAGUUAUUUGUUUCAGUCAUAUAGUAGAGAUUUCGUAGACGAUUUUCGAGAUGUUGAUUUAGAUUGUGGGAUAUUAUUCCCCAUUAUUGUUUUCAUAUGAUUCUUGACCAUGUUUUCGUUAUAUUGUGUUUCUUCCACAUUACUUUGAUCAUAUAAAUUAGGUGCAUGAUUACCAGACAGAUAGGGGUGUUUUGGGCCUCCAUGGUUCGAAAUGCUCGUCAUGUCCAGGCCCUAGUUUGGGUCGUGAUAAACUUGGUAUCAAAGCACGGUUCAUGGUCCCAGGGUGUCUGCAAAAUCAUGUCGAGUAGAGUCUUAUUUAUGGGUGUAUAGCGCACCACACUUAUAAGCAGGAGGCUGCUAGGUGUUUAGGAAAUAUUUUCCUUCUUUGUGAUUUAGUUCAUGCUUCAGAGUCUGAACUGUCCCCUAAUCAAUGAUCACUUGUGUUUCAGAAACACAGUUAUGCCUCCGUGUCGUAUCGUCGAUCAGAAUGCUCAGGCGGAUGAGGUUCGUCCCACCUAUGGGAUGCAAACCCAUAAUAGGGCUCACACUCUAGAAUUUAUCCCUACUCCGGGGUUCCCUCUAGUCCCAACUAGUCCACCUCGGGCUCCGCGGACUAAUGUCAACCAUCCCUCAACUGCGCUAGGAGAUAUUUCAAAUGUAGAAUUCAAAUGGUUUAUUCAUGUGCUAACACAGUUGGUAGCCAACCAAGCUCAACGAUCGUAUGAUGUUGGGUCUGCAUCUAUUACAUCUGAGGCUACUAGAGUCGGACAUUUUAUGAAGAUGAACCCACCUAAGUUCACUGGCACCAAGCUGGAGGAAGAUCCACAGGAGUUCGUGGAUGAGAUGGAAAAGAUCUUCAAGGUGAUGCAUAUGGAUGAGGUUGAAGGGGUGGAGUUAGCAACCUAUCAGCUCAAAGACGUUGCGAGUCAGUGGUAUGUCGAAUAGGAAGAUGAAAAAGGUGAAAGUGCUGAGUCCGCAGUUUGGGGUGAAUUUUUGGAAGCCUUCCUUGAUCGAUUCUUUCCUCUGGAGUUGAGGGAGGCCAAAGUGGAAGAGUUUAUGAAUCUGAAGCAGGGCAGUAUGAGUGUCCAGGAGUACACUUUGAAGUUUAAUAAACUGGCCUUCUAUGCACCAGAGUUGACUAGUAAUAUGAGGGCCCGAUUGAGGAAAUUUGCAUCUGGCCUUGCUGAUAACCUGGUACUUGAGUGCCAGGGGGAUAUGUUGAAUAAGGAGUUAGACUUUGAUUGACUGACCGCUCAUAUACAUUAAGUGGAAGAGAAGAAGAAAAAGAUUGUUGAAUUUAGAGAGAAAGAUAGACAGGCUAAGAGAGCUAGAUCUGCGGACCAGCACCAGAGUCAGCCGCAGAGUGGUAAAUAGGGUAUUAAGUGGUCGAAGAAGAAGAAGUUUUGGAAUAAUGCACUGUCAGCAGCCAGCGCCCCAACAACCAGACCACCGACAGACAGACAAACUCAGAGUUUUCAGACUCCUCAUGGGUCCAAAGCUCUAGGUACACAUUCUUAAGGCAGUGUGGCCCAGCAACGUUAUACUCGUUUGCAGUGUGAGGUUUGCGGAAGGAAUCAUCUAAGAAAGUGCUGGUUUGAGGGGAAAAACUACUAUACUUGUGGCUAAGUGGGUCACCUUCAAAGAGAUUGUCCAUUUGCUGGAGUAAAUGCGGGGGGAGGGGGGCUAAGUCCCAAGUCGCCUCCACAGCCCCUUUCCCUAAGGGUGCCCCUUCAGCUACCGGAAGUGGUCUUCUUUGACUAACCGCUAGGAGGCGGAAGCUUCACCAGAUGUUGUCACUGGUAUGUUACAAAUGUUUUCUUGUGAUGUUUAUGUUUUUCUUGAUCCCGGGUCUACUUUAUCUUAUGUGACCCUUUAUGUGGCUGUUGGUUUCGGGUUUGAGCCCGAAGUUAUUGUAGAAACCUUUUCUGUUUCUACUCCAAUAGGUGAUUUUGUUGUUGCUAGAAGGGUAUAUAGAAAUUGUGUCAUGUCUACUCAUAUUAGGAAAACUGUGGCAGACCUUAUAGAACUUGAUAUGAUAGAUUUUGAUGCCAUCCUUGGGAUGGACUGGCUCUAUUCAUGUUAUGCCACCCUUGAUUGCAGAACCCAAAAGGUCACUUUUUCUUUCCCGAAUGAGACACCAGUUGUUUGGGUUGGGAGUUCUGUGGAACCUAAAGGUCAUUUUAUCUCUUAUCUUAGAGCCUAAAAACUUAUCUCAAAAGGUUGUAUGUAUUAUCUAAUCCGAGUAAAGAUUCAAAAGUUGGAAACCUUCCUCUGCAGUCAGUCCCUGUAGUGAAUGAAUUCCUAGAAGUCUUUUCCGAAGAUCUCCCAGGGAUACCCCCUGAUAGGGAGAUAAAUUUUGGCAUUGAUGUGUUGCCAGACACUCGUUCUAUUUCUAUUCCGCCAUGUAGAAUGGCUCCCGCAGAACUAAAGGAGUUAAAGGAACAGCUUGCAGACCUCCUAGACAAAGGUUUUAUUUGUCCUAGUGUUUCCCCAUGGGGUGCACCCAUGCUCUUCGUGCAAAAGAAGGCUGGGUCCCUUCGGAUGUGCAUAGAUUACCGUCAGCUGAAUAAGGUCACCAUUAAAAAUAAAUAUCCUCUUCCUAGGAUUGAAGACCUUUUUGACCAGCUUCAGGGUGCCAAGUGUUUUUCCAAAAUAGACCUUUGUUUGGGUUAUCAUCGGUUAAAAGUUAGGGAGUCAGACAUACCCAAGAUAGCCUUCCGAACCCGAUAUGGUCACUACGAAUUUCUAGUCAUGUCCUUCGGGUUGACUAACGUCCCUGCAGCCUUCAUGGAUCUUAUGAAUAGAGUGUUUCAUCAGUUUCUUGACUCGUUCGUCAUUGUAUUUAUUGAUGAUAUUCUAAUCUAUUCUAAGAAUAAAGAGGAUCACGCCAAUCACCUCUGAAUUAUCCUUCAGACCCAUAAGGAUCAUCAACUGUAUGCCCAAUUUUCUAAGUGUGAAUUCUGGUUAGAUGCUAUUGCCUUCCUGGGGAGUAUUGUGUCCAGUGAGGGGAUAAGAGUGGAUCCCCAGAAAGUUGAAGCAGUGAGAAAAUGGCCCAGACCCACGACUCCAACCGAUAUUCAGAGCUUCUUGGGUUUGGCGGGGUUUUACAGAAGGUUCGUAGAGAGUUUUUCUUUCAUAGCUUCUCCGCUUACUAAACCGACUUAGAAAAAGAUGAAUUUUGUGUGUUCUGACUUGUGUGAAAAUAGUUUUGAGAAAUUGAAGGACAAGAUGGCUACUGCUUCUGUUUUGACCCUUCCCGAGGGUGUAGAUAUUUUAUGGUUUAUUGUGAUGCGUCCCAUGUGGGACUUGGUUGUGUAUUGAUGCAGCGUGGUAAGGUGAUAGCUUAAGCAUCUAGGCAGCUAAAGGUGCAUGAGCACAAUUACCCCACUCAUGACUUGGAGUUAGCAGCCGUGGUGUUUUCACUUAGAAUUUGGAGGCACUAUCUCUAUGGAGUACAUGUUGAUAUUUAUACUAACCAUAAGAGUUUACAGUAUGUUUUCUCACAGAAAGAAUUAACCCUCAAGCAUAGGCGUUGGAUGGAACUUUUGAAAGUCUAUGAUAUGAGUCUGCAUUACCCUCCGGGUAAGGCAAAUGUUGUAGCCGACGCCCUCAGCAGAUUGUCUAUGGGCAGCCUUUCUCAUGUAGAAGAAAGAAAGAAAGAUAUGGUGAAGGAUAUUCACUGCCUUGUAAAUCUGGGAGUACAACUCUUAGAUUCCGAAGAUGGAGGGGUGAUUGUUCAUGAGUUAGCUAAGUCAUCUCUUUGUGCUGAAGAUAAGAAGAAGCAGGUUGAAGAUCCCAUCUUGAUGCAAAUAAAGAAAGAUGUGGGUCAACAAAAGGUUAUGUCAUUUGAAAUUGGUUGCGGUGGUAUUAUGAGAUUUCAGGGUAGGUUGUGCAUUCCAAAUAAGGCACACACUUUGAGGUAUGUCGUUCACCCAGGAUCUAAUAAGAUGUACCAUGAUCUGAAAACCUUGUAUUGGUGGAAUAACAUAAAACAUGAUGUAGCUGAUUUGUGUCCAAGUGUUUGAAUUGUCAGCAAGUGAAGGUGGAACACAUGAGGCCGAGUGGUACUUGCCAAGAGAUAGCCCUGCCUUUAUGGAAGUGGAGAUGAUAAAUAUGGACUUCAUUACAGGACUUUCGAGAUCCCGAAACCAGUAUGAUUCUAUAUGGUUGAUUGUAGAACGGUUGACCAAGUCAGCACACUUUUUGCCUGUGAGUACUAGUUAUUCGAGAGAGGUUUAUGCUAAGAUUUACAUUGAGGAGAUAGUUCGAUUGCAUGGGGCACCAGUGUCCAUUAUAUCCGAUAGAGGUACGCAGUUUUCAUCUUAGUUUUGGAGAUCUUUUCAGAAGGGUUUAGGUACACAAGUGAAUUUGAGCACAACUUUCCACCCUCAGACGGAUAGGCAAGAUGAGCGUACCAUUCAGACCCUCGAAUAUAUGUUGAGGAAAUGCGUCUUUGAUUUCAAAGGUAGUUAGGUAGAUCACCUUACACUGGUUGAAUUUGCUUACAAUAAUAGUUACCAUCCUAGCAUCAAGAUGGACCCUUUUGAGGCUUUGUAUGGGAGGAGAUGUAGGUCUCUAAUAGGAUGGUAUGAAGUGGGUGAGACUCAGUUUUAUGGAACUGAUCUUGCUCAUCAGGCGAUGGAGAAAGUCAAGAUCAUUAGAGAACGACUUAAGACUGCUCAGAGUCAUCAGAAGUCCUAUGUCGAUGUUUGGAGAAGAGAACUAGAGUUUGAAAUUGGUGAUUUGGUGUUUCUCAAGGUUUCUCCUAUGAAAGGAGUUAUGAGGUUUAGAAAAAGGGGUAAAUUGAGCCCUUGUUAUAUAGGACCAUAUCAGAUUUUGAAAAGGAUUGGUACAUUUGCGUAUGAGUUUGAAUUGCCUACAAGUUUGGGUUCCAUUCAUCCGGUAUUCCAUGUAUCCAUGUUGAAGAAAUGCAUUGGAGAUCAUUCUAUGGUAUUGCCAGUAAAGGGUAUCAAAGUGAUAGAUUUCUUGUCUUAUGAAGAAGAGCCCGUUGAAACUUUAGAUCGCCAAGUUCGAAAGCUGAAGAGCAAAGAGAUAGCCUCAGUAAAGGUACUAUAGAGGAAUCAGAAAGUCGAAGAAGCAGCUUGGGAGUCCGAAGAUGACAUGAGAAUUAGAUAUCCCAAUUUGUUUGCUUCGAUGGAGGACAAGACAGAAGGUACUAUUCUUAUCUUAUCUUUCCUAGUCCUUUAUUAUUCUUAAAAUCGUGUCUGUCUGUGUCCCGCAUCAUCAUUCGGGGAUGAAUGAUCCUAAGGAGGGGAUAAUGUAACGCCCCGCAAUUCGGACUACAAUAUAGACCAUGAUUUUGAUGCGUUGUUAAUUCCGAAGCCAUAAAAUCCUACGCCAAUAUGGCAUGUUAAUUAUCGUGUAGCAUGUGAAAUUCACUCAAGCUUGAAUUUAGACCAUACAGGUCCUACAACUCAAGGACGAGUCGAAACUAUUUUGAUCGACUAAGUUUUAGUGGACGUUGUAAAGUGUGUCAUCUUCCUUCAACCAUAACUCUCUGUAUAUGUCGAAUUAGGAAACCUACUAUGUGUCAAAUGAUAGGUAUUCGAGUUAGCUUUCCAACGACACCUAUUUGGCUAAAAUCCGACACCCGAGCAAGAAGUGACCUUUCAAAGUGAUAAGCGACGCCUAACCAAUCACCCAUGGCCACUGGAAAGCAUAGGCGAUAGCCUAGACGGCGCCUAUGUGAACAUAGGCAAUAGCCUAGGUGGAGCCUAUGUAAACAUAGGCUAUAUCCUAGGCGGUGCCUAUAUAAACAUAGGCGAUAACCUAGGCGGCGCCUAUAUGAACAUAGGCAAUGAGAUGGGCGGCGCCUAUGUAAGGAAUUCUAGUGAUUUAAACACUCCGUGUUGAGGACAAAGUGGUCCUUUUCCUCCCUUACUUAGCCCUAAAACAGGAGAUUUAGUUCCAUGGACCCCAAAAUACAUAUUCUUUCAUCAAAAGUGCUCAAGAUUCUCCUUAGGAUUACAAAAAUAAAAACCCAAAUAGUUCAAGAUUUGACCGUAGGUUUUCAAAGAUAAUUACAUAUUCGGAAUCACCAAUCCGCAAUCUUCAAGAAAAAUCUAUUAUCCUUGGAAAUAGAGGUACAUGGGGUUAUCCAAAAAUCUCAUGGGUGUAGUUUUAUGAACAUUCAUGCUUUUAAAUGGGGGUUUUCAAUCAAAUGCUAAUAUCUUGCUUUCAAUAUGAUUUCUAAGUCAUUUUCUUUAUGUCAUGGAAAUUGUUUGCCUAUAUACUUCAAUAGUUGAAACCAUGCAUAUGUGAUUUGAGAUUUUCCAUGGAAGUUGAUAAAUAUGAAUCAUAAAUUAUUUUCAAAUUCCCAGGAUAAUGUUUCAAUACUCCAUAUUAUAUUGUGAUCAACAAAAGAGAACAUGAAUUUGAAAUAAAUAUUGUUCACCACUUGUAAAUGAUGAAGCACCUUAUUUUUUACAUGAUUAUGCAUAUGUGGAUGUGACAUUGAUGACUUACAAGUCGGGUAUGACGAUACCCUUUAAAAUACAAUAUGUGAUUGAAACAAAAAUGAAAUUUGAAUGCGUUGAUUUUACAUGAGAAAGGUGGAUUCCCGAAGAAGGCGUUUGAGACACAAGGGCUCAUCGCUGGAA